UACGAGGGGGGCGAGCGUUGUUCGGAAUUAUUGGGCGUAAAGGGUGCGUAGGCGGCCUGACAAGUCUGAUGUGAAAUCCCUGGGCUCAACCCAGGGCCUGCAUCGGAAACUGUCGGGCUUGAGUAUGGGAGAGGUGAGUGGAAUUUCCGGUGUAGCGGUGAAAUGCGUAGAUAUCGGAAGGAACACCUGUGGCGAAAGCGGCUCACUGGACCAUUACCGACGCUGAGGCACGAAAGCUAGGGGAGCAAACAGG
rnacentral:rRNA from 1 species